rnacentral:rRNA from 1 species
CAGCAGCCGCGGUAAUACAGAGGGUGCAAGCGUUAAUCGGAAUUACUGGGCGUAAAGCGCGCGUAGGUGGUUCGCCAAGUUGGAUGUGAAAUCCCCGGGCUCAACCUGGGAACUGCAUCCAAAACUGGCGAGCUAGAGUAUGGUAGAGGGUGGUGGAAUUUCCUGUGUAGCGGUGAAAUGCGUAGAUAUAGGAAGGAACAUCAGUGGCGAAGGCGACCACCUGGACUGAUACUGACACUGAGGUGCGAAAGCGUGGGGAGCAAACAGGAUUAGAUACCCCAGUAGUCCCUGUCUCUUAUAC